rnacentral:rRNA from 1 species
UACGAAGGGGGCUAGCGUUGCUCGGAAUUACUGGGCGUAAAGGGCGCGUAGGCGGGAUACUUAAGUCGGGGGUGAAAGCCCAGGGCUCAACCCUGGAAUAGCCUUCGAUACUGGGUAUCUUGAGUUCGGGAGAGGUGAGUGGAACUCCGAGUGUAGAGGUGAAAUUCGUAGAUAUUCGGAAGAACACCAGUGGCGAAGGCGACUCACUGGCCCGAUACUGACGCUGAGGCGCGAAAGCGUGGGGAGCAAACAGG